rnacentral:lncRNA from 1 species
UGCCGGGAAGGUUUAUCGGGUUAUGCCGGGAAGAUUCAUCGGGUUAUGCCGGGAAGAUUCAUCGGGUUAUGCCGGGAAGAUUCAUCGGGUUAUGCCGGGAGGAUUCAUCGGUGCCGGGAAGAUUCAUCGGGUUAUGCCGGGAGGAUUCAUCGGGUUAUGCCGGGAGGAUUCAUCGGGUUAUGCCGGGAGGAUUCAUCGGGUUAUGCCGGGAAAAUUCAUCGGGUUAUGCCGGGAAGAUUCAUCGGGUUAUGCCGGAAGGUUCAUCGGGUUAUGCCGGGAAGAUUCAUCGGGUUAUGCCGGGAGGAUUCAUCGGGUUAUGCCG